rnacentral:rRNA from 1 species
UACGUAGGGGCCUAGCGUUGUCCGGAUUUAUUGGGCGUAAAGAGCUCGUAGGCGGUUUGGUAAGUCGGGUGUGAAAUCUCCACGCUCAACGUGGAGGGGCCACCCGAUACUGCCAUGACUGGAGUCCGGUAGGGGAGUGUGGAAUUCCCGGUGUAGCGGUGAAAUGCGCAGAUAUCGGGAGGAACACCAAUUGCGAAGGCAGCUCGCUGGGACGUUACUGACGCUGAGACGCGAAAGCGUGGGGAGCAAACAGG